GAAAUCAAAAGGUAAAAAAACAAGGAAUACAUAAAAAAGAAUACAUUAACAGUUAACGUAUUCUUCUUUUGGAAUUAAUUCUUUGUUUUUCUACCUUUUGAUUUACGUUUUGUGAGACUUUUAAAUUGGUGAGCCAUGACUAGCCAAUCCCGUUACCUAAAUGAAAACUAGUAAUCAGAUGCUGAUCCAAAACACCUGCUGGCUCUUUCUUCAACAAACAUUUGCGACAAGAAAAGAGGAAGGAAGUGAAGAAAAACUCAAGUGGGGGUCAAAGGGGGUCGUGGACCGAGUGGUGAGUUGGUGAGGAACGCCCGGGGCGUUGGACACGAUGUUGGCACCUGCAUGAACCUGACGUCGAAGCCUGGGCACCAGGUUAGUAGAGUCAGCACCCCGCCGUGUCAGACGGGCGCGGGGGGUUUACCGGUUCAUCGAAGGACACGGGGGAUUCAGUCAUAUUAGGCAACAGUUUCAAUCAACUUUUAUACAGAAGAUAUCUCUAUCUAUCCAUCCAUCCAUCCAUCCAUCUCUCUCUUGCUCUCUCUCUCUUGCUCUCUCUCUCUCUUUCACAUUUGUAAUCCAAUACAUUGUAUAUAUAUAAAAGAGUUAAGUUAACAAACGUCAACAUGGUUCCAGUCGCUUAAUUCAAAUUUGGGAGUUGAUACGCUUGUUGAAGUUGCAUCGGAAAAAAAGAUUAUCACGUCACUUCUGAACAACCUCUUACGACUUAUGUAAUUCCUAGACAAGUUAGUCCAGACAUGUGGCAGAGCAAAAACAAGCAUACUGUCUUUAU
rnacentral:lncRNA from 1 species